CCUACGGGUGGCAGCAGUGGGGAAUAUUGGGCAAUGGAGGAAACUCUGACCCAGCAACGCCGCGUGAAGGAAGAAGGCUUUCGGGUUGUAAACUUCUUUUAAGAGGGAAGAGCAGAAGACGGUACCUCUUGAAUAAGCCACGGCUAACUACGUGCCAGCAGCCGCGGUAAUACGUAGGUGGCAAGCGUUGUCCGGAUUUACUGGGUGUAAAGGGCGUGCAGCCGGGCUGACAAGUCAGAUGUGAAAUCCCGUGGCUCAACCACGGAACUGCAUUUGAAACUGUCGGUCUUGAGUAUCGGAGAGGCAGGCGGAAUUCCUAGUGUAGCGGUUAAAUGCGUAGAUAUUAGGAGGAACCCCAGUGGCGAAGGCGGCCUGCUGGACGACAACUGACGGUGAGGCGCGAAAGCGUGGGGAGCAAACAGGAUUAGAUACCCUUGUAGUC
rnacentral:rRNA from 1 species